UUUCCGUAGGUGAACCUGCGGAAGGAUCAUUGUCGAACCCUGCAAAGCAGAACGACCCGUGAACUUGUACCAACAACUGGGAGACGGGGAGACGGACCUCGGUCUGGAUCCCCGCCACCCUCCCGGCUUUCGUUCAUGAUGUCCCCGUGCGGGUCGUCAUGGAUGUCAUGYCGGAAACAUAACAACCCCCGGCACGGAAUGUGCCAAGGAAAACAACAAAUGAGAAGGACGCAUCCGGUGKUGCCCCGUUCGCGGUGYGCAUCCGGGAUGCGGCCUCCUUGAAAUCACAAACGACUCUCGGCAACGGAUAUCUCGGCUCACGCAUCGAUGAAGAACGUAGCAAAAUGCGAUACUUGGUGUGAAUUGCAGAAUCCCGUGAACCAUCGAGUUUUUGAACGCAAGUUGCGCCCGAAGCCAUCCGGCCGAGGGCACGCCUGCCUGGGCGUCACGCAUCGCGUCGCCCCCCACCAWCCAUCCCCAUGGGGAUUGUUGGCAUCGGGGCGGAGAUUGGCCUCCCAUGCUUCUGGUGUGGUUGGCCUAAACUGGAGUCCCCUUCGGUGGACGCACGACUAGUGGUGGUUGAAAAGACCCUCGUCCUGUGYCGUGCGUCAUAAGCCGUGAGGGAUGCGCUCGAGAAAGACCCCAAUGUGUYGUUUCACGACGAUGCUUCGACCGCGACCCCAGGUCAGGCGGGACUACCCGCUGAGUUUAAG
rnacentral:rRNA from 1 species